UACGUAGGGAGCAAGCGUUGUUCGGAUUUACUGGGCGUAAAGGGCGCGUAGGCGGCAUGACAAGUCACUUGUGAAAUCUCUGGGCUUAACCCAGAACGGCCAAGUGAUACUGUCGCGCUAGAGUGCGGAAGGGGCAAUCGGAAUUCUCGGUGUAGCGGUGAAAUGCGUAGAUAUCGAGAGGAACACCUGCGGCGAAGGCGGGUUGCUGGGCUGACACUGACGCUGAGGCGCGAAAGCUAGGGGAGCGAACGGG
rnacentral:rRNA from 1 species